rnacentral:rRNA from 1 species
UAAGCAUAUUAAUAAGCGGAGGAAAAGAAACUAACAAGGAUUCCCUCAGUAACGGCGAGUGAAGCGGGAAGAGCUCAAAUUUGAAAUCUCCGAUGCUUGCAUCGGCGAGUUGUAGUUGCGAGAAGCACUUUCUAGGCGGAUCGGCGGUGCCUAAGUUGCUUGGAACAGCACGUCACAGAGGGUGACAACCCCGUCUGUGGCGCCGCCGGCCGCCCACGAUGUGCUUUCGAAGAGUCGGGUUGUUUGGGAAUGCAGCCCAAAAUGGGUGGUAAACUCCAUCUAAAGCUAAAUACUGGCGUGAGACCGAUAGCGAACAAGUACCGUGAGGGAAAGAUGAAAAGAACUUUGAAAAGAGAGUUAAAAAGUACGUGAAACCGUUGAAAGGGAAACGAAUGGGCUCAGCAAUGCGCCCUUUGAGAUUCAGCCGGCGGGUGGGAUCGGCGCCGGGUUUGCGGAUCUGAAUGGACCGCGGCCCGGCGCUCGGUUUUCUCCUCGCCGUCGCACUUCUCUUGGGCGCGCGUCAACGUCGGUUGGGACUGGGUCUGAAAGGUGCCGGGAAGGUAGGUGUGGGCCUCCGGGUCCGUGCUGUUACAGCCCGGUUCUCUCAUGGCUCGGGCCCGACCGAGGAGUGUUUGCAGGGCAUGCCUCCUGUGGCUAGGGUCCCGCCCUUCCGGCCGGUUGUUUUUUUUCCAAUGCCGUGGACUGCUUGCAGUGCUCGGCGAUGGCUGCCGGUCGUUGGGACGGUGAUCUCGUACCAUGCCCUUAGGAUGUUGGCGGUCAUAUG